rnacentral:rRNA from 1 species
UACGUAGGGUGCGAGCGUUAAUCGGAAUUACUGGGCGUAAAGCGUGCGCAGGCGGUCAUGUAAGACAGAUGUGAAAUCCCCGGGCUUAACCUGGGACCUGCAUUUGUGACUGCAUUGCUGGAGUGCGGCAGAGGAGACUGGAAUUCCUGGUGUAGCAGUGAAAUGCGUAGAUAUCAGGAGGAACACCGAUGGCGAAGGCAGGUCUCUGGGCUGACACUGACGCUCAUGCACGAAAGCUAGGGGAGCGAACGGG